GCCAACUUCCGUUCUGCGUUUCG
rnacentral:miRNA from 1 species